rnacentral:misc_RNA from 1 species
UCUCCGUAGGUGAACCUGCGGAGGGAUCAUUACAAGUGACCCCGGUCUAACCACCGGGAUGUUCAUAACCCUUUGUUGUCCGACUCUGUUGCCUCCGGGGCGACCCUGCCUUCGGGCGGGGGCUCCGGGUGGACACUUCAAACUCUUGCGUAACUUUGCAGUCUGAGUAAAUUUAAUUAAUAAAUUAAAACUUUUAACAACGGAUCUCUUGGUUCUGGCAUCGAUGAAGAACGCAGC